rnacentral:rRNA from 1 species
UACGGAGGGUGCGAACGUUAAUCGGAAUCACUGGGCGUAAAGCGCGCGUAGGCGGUUCGUUAAGUGGGAUGUGAAAUCCCCGGGCUUAACCUGGGAAUUGCAUUUCAAACUGGCCGACUAGAGUACGGUAGAGGGAGGUAGAAUUUCCUGUGUAGCGGUGUAAUGCGUAGAUAUAGGAAGGAAUACCAGUGGCGAAGGCAGCCUCCUGGGCCAAUACUGACGCUCAUGCACGAAAGCGUGGGGAGCAAACAGG